rnacentral:rRNA from 1 species
UGGUGCAUGGGCAAGUGAAGUGCCCUGCGCGGCGUGGGCCAGCGGUUGGAGGGCGCCAAGAGGCCUUUCCGCUUGCGGACUGGAACCAGGGCGCGUGGAAGACUGUUUGGUCUGCGUUCGGCAACUAAGGGCGACGGCUUACGCGCGUCGUUGUCGCCACGGUGCUGGCUCGUAACGGUCGCGUGCGACACGUGCUUGCCGGGGCAGUGGUUGCGGCGGCGUGCCCGUCCCUGGGCUCGGUGUAACAGUUGGUCAUCUCUCCGACCCGUCUUGAAACACGGACCAAGGAGUUUAACGUAUACGCGAGUCAUUGGGCGUCAAACCCAAAGGCGCAAUGAAAGUGAAGUGACAUGUGAGUGUUGGCUCUUGCUAUCACGCAGCAUGGCCCCGUCCCGAUCGCUUGCGAUGGGGCGGAGGCACAGCGUAUGCGCUGAGACCCGAAAGAUGGUGAACUAUUCCUGAGCAGGACGAAGCCAGAGGAAACUCUGGUGGAAGUCCGAAGCGGUUCUGACGUGCAAAUCGAUCGUCUGACUUGGGUAUAGGGGCGAAA